rnacentral:rRNA from 1 species
UACAUGGGGGGCAAGCGUUGUUCGGAAUUAUUGGGCGUAAAGGGCGCGUAGGCGGCUUUUCAAGUGACGGGUGAAAUCCCUCGGCUUAACCGAGGAACUGCCUGUCAGACUGGAAGGCUUGAGACCGGGAGAGGUGAGUGGAAUUCCCAGUGUAGCGGUGAAAUGCGUAGAUAUUGGGAGGAACACCAGUGGCGAAGGCGGCGCACUGGACCGGAACUGACGCUGAGGCGCGAAAGCGUGGGGAGCAAACAGG